UAAGACGUAGGGCGCGAGCGUUGUCCGGAUUUAUUGGGCGUAAAGAGCUCGUAGGCGGCUUGUCGCGUCGUCCGUGAAAACCUGCAGCUCAACUGCAGGCUUGCGGUCGAUACGGGCAGGCUAGAGUUCGGUAGGGGAGACUGGAAUUCCUGGUGUAGCGGUGAAAUGCGCAGAUAUCAGGAGGAACACCGGUGGCGAAGGCGGGUCUCUGGGCCGAUACUGACGCUGAGGAGCGAAAGCGUGGGGAGCGAACAGGAUUAGAUACCCUGGUAGUCCACGCUGUAAACGUUGGGCGCUAGGUGUGGGGGGCCUCUCCGGUUCUCUGUGCCGCAGCUAACGCAUUAAGCGCCCCGCCUGGGGAGUACGGCCGCAAGGCUA
rnacentral:rRNA from 1 species